AAUUCCAAGGACCUAAUCUUUCUACAAAAACUUUGAGGGCAUGAGACAUUUAAGAUCUAAUACAAAAUAGAUACAUAUAAAUUAGGGUAUUUCACCAGCCUUCCAGUGCUUCAUUUUGGGAAAUCUGAUGUCGAUGAUGUAAGAGAAUCGACGGUAACGGCUGCGACGUUCCUUCAACGGAGAAGAUGGCAGUGCCGCAGAGGUUAUGCUCGAUGAGUGAGAAGCAACUGCAUUUUGUGGGAGAGAUAAUAAUGGGUAAGAGGUUGCAGUUACCAAAAUCCAAAAAUUGUGGGAUUAUGGGUUAUUA
rnacentral:lncRNA from 1 species